CCUACGGGUGGCAGCAGUGGGGCAUAUUGCACAAUGGGGGAAACCCUGAUGCAGCGACGCCGCGUGCAGGAAGAAGUAUUUCGGUGUGUAAACUUCUAUCAGCAGGGAAGAAAAUGACGGUACCUGACUAAGAAGCCCCGGCUAACUCCGUGCCAGCAGCCGCGGUAAUACGUAGGGGGCAAGCGUUAUCCGGAUUUCCUGGGUGUAAAGGGAGCGUAGGCGGCGAUGCAAGUCAGAAGUGAAAGCCCGGGGCUCAACUCCGGGACUGCUUUUGAAACUGUAUGUCUAGAUUGCAGGAGAGGCAAGUGGAAUUCCUAGUGUAGCGGUGAAAUGCGUAGAUAUCAGGAGGAACACCAGUGGCGAAGGCGGCUUGCUGGACUGUAAAUGACGUUGAGGCUCGAAAGCGUGGGGAGCAAACAGGAUUAGAUACCCGAGUAGUC
rnacentral:rRNA from 1 species